GCCGGGCAUAUUGGUGAAUGCCUGUAAGCCAGACUUCUGGGCGGCUAGAGUUCAGGGAUGACUCAUUCAUCGGGUUCCAUCUCCAUAGCAACAUCUUCAUUUCAGUCCAAUCUGAGCGCAGCGUCAACAGCCUAAGCCACUGGAAGGUGACUUAGGCGGUUGUUUAAGAAGGGGGCAACGCCUCAGGCUGGCAACAGAGCAGGGAAAACUCCUCGCGGUGCGCGGCAGUUGGAUAGCUGGAAUAAUGGGAUUUGAUGUGGUGAUGCCGGUGGAAGGUUCAGACCUUCGCUCGUU
rnacentral:SRP_RNA from 1 species